AAUGAACGCUGGCGGCGUGCCUAAUACAUGCAAGUCGAGCGGAAAGACGAGGAUCUGGCUGGUCUCGUGUUGGCAGCGGGCGGGUGAUUAACAGGUGGGUAACCUGCCGAGAGGAAUGGGAUAGCGUCGGGAAACCUGAUCUAAUAUCGGAUAAGAGGGUGAACGGCAGGGUUCAACAGUGAAAGCGGGUUUGGCGCGGACGUAGGGAGAGAUGCACGCCGGAUUAGCUAGUUGGUAAGGUAAAGGCUUACCAAGGCAACGAUGCGUAGCCGGCCUGAGAGGACAAUCGGCCAUACUGGAACUGAGACACGGUCCAGACUCCUACGGGAGGCAGCAGUAGGGAAUUUUCGGCAAUGGGCGAAAGCCUGAUCGAGCAACGCCGCGUGAGUGAAGAAGGUCUUCGGAUUGUAAAGCACUGUUAGUGGGAAAGAAAAAAACUGUAAGAAAACCUGGGCGCGAUGACGGUACCCACACAAAAAGCACCGGCUAACUACGUG
rnacentral:rRNA from 1 species